UACAGAGGGGGCAAGCGUUGUUCGGAAUUACUGGGCGUAAAGGGCGCGUAGGCGGCGUGCUAAGUCGAACGUGAAAUCCCCGGGCUCAACCCGGGAACUGCGUCCGAGACUGGCAGGCUUGAAUCCGGGAGAGGGAUGUGGAAUUCCAGGUGUAGCGGUGAAAUGCGUAGAUAUCUGGAGGAACAUCGGUGGCGAAGGCGGCAUCCUGGACCGGUAUUGACGCUGAGGCGCGAAAGCCAGGGGAGCAAAGCGGG
rnacentral:rRNA from 1 species